UUCUUUUUGCCAUUAGAAAAGUUCAAAAAGUUUAGCAAACAUACACCAGUUACAAAACUAGGCAUACAUCUUGGAGCCACUGGACCCUCAAUAGUACUCUGAAGGCUUUUGUUCCUUUGUCUGCUUAAGUGAGACAUAUGUCACCAUCAAUAUUGCUAUCCCUAAAAAUAUACUGCUCCAUUACCUUCCUGAUGAAGGAAGAAGAAAACACAUGCCUUUCCUUCAGCAACAGGCCUCCUGACAGAUUCCAGCUGUCCUGCUUUGACGGAAGCUUUCAAGGAUCAAAGAAAAGAUCAAACUGGAAAUAAACGUCUCAGUGUUUUUA